UGGAAUUCAGCAGCAGUGGAUGAGGAAGCAGCUGGGGGCUGGCAGAAUCAGAGGAAGAAUUCACAGUACAGACAGCACACAGGACAGCUCUGCCCAAGCUUCUCAUUAUAAAGAUGAAAAAUCUCAGACCAAAAGACAGGAUGUGCCUCGCUCAAGAUCGUGAUCACCUAGUGGCUGAGCCAGAACAGAGUCCUGGUUGGUGUCUCCAAGCACAACUUGUCUCCCUCUGUCCCACCCAGGACACUGCUUUCUGUGUCCAGUUCCUUCCUUGUCUAAUGUUACACUCUGAAAGUGUGACUGGCCUGUCUCUCACUCUCAGAUCUUCAAGGAAAGACCUCA